rnacentral:rRNA from 1 species
AUUGAACGCUGGCGGCAUGCCUUACACAUGCAAGUCGAACGGUAACACGGGGGCGAACCCUGGCGACGAGUGGCGAACGGGUGAGUAAUACAUCGGAACGUGUCCUGUUGUGGGGGAGUAACCCAUCGAAAGGUGAGCUAAUACCGCAUGAUCUGGAGACAGCAAAGCAGGGGACCGGGUAACGGCCUUGCGCGAUUGGAGCGGCCGAUGUCCGAUUAGCUAGUUGGUGGGGUAAAGGCCCACCAAGGCAACGAUCGGUAGCUGGUCUGAGAGGAUGAUCAGCCACACUGGGACUGAGACACGGCCCAGACUCCUACGGGAGGCAGCAGUGGGGAAUUUUGGACAAUGGGGGCAACCCUGAUCCAGCCAUGCCGCGUGAGUGAAGAAGGCCUGGUGUAAG